GCGGGCGUGGCGAAACUGGUAAACGCAACGGACUUAAAAUCCGUCAGCUUUCAAGGCUUUGCGGGUUCAAGUCCCGCCGCCCGCACCA
rnacentral:tRNA from 1 species